UACAGAGGGUGCAAGCGUUGUUCGGAAUUACUGGGCGUAAAGCGUGCGUAGUCGGUAUUGAGAGUCGCGGGUGAAAUCCCAGGGCUUAACCCUGGAACUGCCUGCGAGACCUCAGUACUAGAGUGUGAGAGGGAUAGUGGAAUACCCAGUGUAGCGGUGAAAUGCGUAGAGAUUGGGUGGAACACCGGGUGGCGAAGGCGGCUAUCUGGCUCACAACUGACGAUCAGGCACGAAAGCGUGGGGAGCAAACAGG
rnacentral:rRNA from 1 species